rnacentral:rRNA from 1 species
AACGCUAGCUACAGGCUUAACACAUGCAAGUCGAGGGGCAGCAUGAUUUGUAGCAAUACAGAUUGAUGGCGACCGGCGCACGGGUGAGUAACGCGUAUGCAACUUACCUAUCAGAGGGGGAUAGCCCGGCGAAAGUCGGAUUAAUACCCCAUAAAACAGGGGUCCCGCAUGGGAAUAUUUGUUAAAGAUUCAUCGCUGAUAGAUAGGCAUGCGUUCCAUUAGGCAGUUGGCGGGGUAACGGCCCACCAAACCGACGAUGGAUAGGGGUUCUGAGAGGAAGGUCCCCCACAUUGGUACUGAGACACGGACCAAACUCCUACGGGAGGCAGCAGUGAGGAAUAUUGGUCAAUGGCCGAGAGGCUGAGCCAGCCAAGUCGCGUGAAGGAAGAAGGAUCUAUGGUUUGUAAACUUCUUUUAUAGGGGAAUAAAGUGGAGGACGUGUCCUUUUUUGUAUGUACCCUAUGAAUAAGCAUCGGCUAACUCCGUGCCAGCAGCCGCGGUAAUACGGAGGAUGCGAGCGUUAUCCGGAUUUAUUGGGUUUAAAGGGUGCGUAGGUGGUGAUUUAAGUCAGCGGUGAAAGUUUGUGGCUCAACCAUAAAAUUGCCGUUGAAACUGGGUUACUUGAGUGUGUUUGAGGUAGGCGGAAUGCGUGGUGUAGCGGUGAAAUGCAUAGAUAUCACGCAGAACUCCGAUUGCGAAGGCAGCUUACUAAACCAUAACUGACACUGAAGCACGAAAGCGUGGGGAUCAAACAGGAUUAGAUACCCUGGUAGUCCACGCAGUAAACGAUGAUUACUAGGAGUUUGCGAUACAAUGUAAGCUCUACAGCGAAAGCGUUAAGUAAUCCACCUGGGGAGUACGCCGGCAACGGUGAAACUCAAAGGAAUUGACGGGGGCCCGCACAAGCGGAGGAACAUGUGGUUUAAUUCGAUGAUACGCGAGGAACCUUACCCGGGUUUGAAUUGCAGAGGAAGGAUUUGGAGACAAUGACGCCCUUCGGGGCCUCUGUGAAGGUGCUGCAUGGUUGUCGUCAGCUCGUGCCGUGAGGUGUCGGCUUAAGUGC